CCCUUAGAUGUCCGGGGCUGCACGCGCGCUACACUGAAGGAAUCAGCGUGCUAAAACCAUUGUCGAAAGGCAUUGGUAAACCCAUUAAAAUCCUACGUGAUUGGGAUCGGGAAUUGCAAUUAUUUCCCUUGAACGAGGAAUUCCCAGUAAGUGUGGGUCAUAAGCUCGCGUUGAUUACGUCCCUGCCCUUUGUACACACCGCCCGUCGCUGCCCGGGACUGAGCCGUUUCGAGAGAAGCGGGGACUGCUGCUGUCGGGGCUUUCGGGCCUUGGCUUCGGUGGAAACCGCUUUAAUCGCAGUGGCUUGAACCGGGCAAAAGUCGUAACA
rnacentral:rRNA from 1 species